CAAAAAACCCCUUCAACUUAUUGCCAAAAAACAUCUGAGUGGGUGAUUUAAGCACCUGGACUAGUUUUAGAAGCAGUUGAAACCCAAGUAGAAAUACAAAAUGUGCAAAAUGUGAAUUUUGCUUAAUGGGUCACCUUUAAAAUUACAAGAAAAAAAAGUGUCAUUCUAAUGAGAAGAAAGUUUCUAGAGUCAUCAAGAUCUGAAGUGACCAAGAAUAAAAAGUAUGUCUCGUUUUCAUCUUGUUUACCCAACAACAACCGCUGUCGUCUUGAGGGACGGCGCAUCUUCUGCACUUUGAUGCCUGGGCUAGAGGGGAAACUGACAGCGUUUACUAUCCUCCACAAAUUAUGUUUGGGGAUUCUGGAGAAGAUGAGGUGCAGCUCUGUCGUUUUUUGCUGCGGUUUCACCCGUCUGGCCGCAUGAAAUGCAGCAAAUGGGCGUUUCUCUUUCAUCCUCAACAAGUCUGAGUCCUAACGAGGUUUCCGCUGUCUGCAGCCAUCAAUUAAACACUCAGCCUGGGACAAAAGCCGCGGCCGGAGUUGCUUCCAUGAAAGGGAAUCUGUUUGCAGCAGACUUGAGGAAACCAAGGGCUGGCUGUAAAUAUCAAGGCAGCGUCUUUUUUUGGAACAUUAGGGAAAAGUUUAAAGCUGAUACGACGAGAUUUAUUACAGAAGCGAAUCAAAGGAAGAUAUGCGAUGUGUCAUCGGUUGACUUUGCAGCUCAUUUGUUAAGCUGACAGACUUACCUCACAUCGCCUGGAGGUGAAAUGACAGGACAUCCUGACAGGACAAAAGGAGCCUACUCUGUUGGAUCUUUCACAGGGUUUUGCCUUUUAGGAUGAUUUUAAAAAACAAUAAAACCCACAAACGGAUUUGCUAAAUUGCCGGCUAAAGCAUGUGGAUUACUGCGUGUUGAGCUGGGAUGCAAAGAUUAGAGAGCACCACUACGGGUGUUUUUUUUUAAGCUAGCAAAAUGGGAAGAAACAAAGUGAACACUGACAAAAGUUUGGUACUCGAACACUUCACUCUUAAUGAGAAUUAUUAGAAAAUCUGCAAAAGAGGACAUUUAUUAGAGGUGCAGAAUAAAAAAAAAUCUUUAAGAAUCCCAAAUCCUGGUCCUGUGAA